CGACGCCGCGUGAGCGAUGAAGCCCUUCGGGGUGUAAAGCUCUUUCGGCAGGGAAGAUAGUGACGGUACCUGCAGAAGCAGCUGCGGCUAACUACGUGCCAGCAGCCGCGGUAAUACGUAGGCAGCAAGCGUUGUUCGGAGUUACUGGGCGUAAAGGGUGCGUAGGCGGCCGAUUAAGUUUGUCGUGAAAUCUCCCGGCUCAACUGGGAGGGUGCGGCGAAUACUGAUGGGCUGGAGUGCGGGAGAGGAGAGUGGAAUUCCUGGUGUAGCGGUGAAAUGCGUAGAUAUCAGGAGGAACACCGGCGGUGUAGACGGCUCUCUGGACCGUAACUGACGCUGAGGCACGAAAGCGUGGGUAGCAAACAGGAUUAGAUACCCUGGUAGUCCACGCCCUAAACGAUGCACAUUUGGUGUGGGCGGUUCAGUCUGUCCGUGCCGGAGCUAACGCGUUAAAUGUGCCGCCUGGGGAGUACAGUCGCAAGGCUG
rnacentral:rRNA from 1 species